GCCGGGAUCGCCCAGCCUGGUCAACGGCGAAGGACUUAAGAUCCUUUCUCAUUGGAGUUCGUGGGUUCAAAUCCCACUCCCGGCA
rnacentral:tRNA from 1 species